rnacentral:rRNA from 1 species
CCUGCCCUUAACUCUGGGAUAAGCCUGGGAAACUGGGUCUAAUACCGGAUAGGAGCGCCCACCGCAUGGUGGGUGUUGGAAAGAUUUAUCGGUUUUGGAUGGACUCGCGGCCUAUCAGCUUGUUGGUGAGGUAAUGGCUCACCAAGGCGACUACGGGUAGCCGGCCUGAGAGGGUGACCGGCCACACUGGGACUGAGACACGGCCCAGACUCCUACGGGAGGCAGCAGUGGGGAAUAUUGCACACAUGGGCGCAAGCCUGAUGCAUCGACGCCGCGUGAGGGAUGACGGCCUUCUGGUUGUAGACCUCUUUCCGCUA